rnacentral:rRNA from 1 species
GCGGCGAACGGGUGAGUAACGCGUGAGGAACCUGCCUCUUACAACGGGAUAGCCUCGGGAAUCCGGGAUUAAUACCGUAUAAGACUCCGACAUCUCCUGAUGAUGAAGUCAAAGCGUUAGCGGUAAGAGAUGGCCUCGCGUCUGAUUAGCUUGUUGGCGGGGUAACGGCCCACCAAGGCGACGAUCAGUAACCGGCCUGAGAGGGUGAACGGUCACAUUGGAACUGAGACACGGUCCAAACUCCUACGGGAGGCAGCAGUGGGGAAUCUUGCACAAUGGGGGCAACCCUGAUGCAGCGACGCCGCGUGAGCGAUGAAGGUUUUCGAAUCGUAAAGCUCUGUCCUAUGGGAAGAUAAUGACGGUACCAUGGGAGGAAGCCCCGGCUAACUACGUGCCAGCAGCCGCGGUAAUACGUAGGGGGCGAGCGUUGUCCGGAAUUACUGGGCGUAAAGGGUUCGCAGGCGGCAUGGCAAGUCCGAUGUAAAAGGCGAAGGCUCAACCUUCGUAAGCAUCGGAAACUGUCAAGCUUGAGUGAAGGAGAGGCAAGUGGAAUUCCUAGUGUAGCGGUGGAAUGCGUAGAUAUUAGGAGGAAUACCGGUGGCGAAGGCGACUUGCUGGACUUCAACUGACGCUGAGGAACGAAAGCGUGGGUAGCAAACAGGAUUAGAUACCCUGGUAGUCCACGCCGUAAACGAUGA